AAGUGUGAAUACCGAAGUUUUUCAUACAUUAUAUCCACCAACCUGAAGAAAAUCUCAGCUAGUACUAGAGAAAGCAUUGGCACUUAGAAUCUGUACACACCACCUUUAGAAUGUCCAUUUUAUGAAAGAUCUUCUAAAUGAAGUUGAAGACUUUCUUUAUAGCAAGUUAUUCAACAAGUAAUUUUAACAUGCUACUAUAAUCAGUCAAGAGUAUGCUUUAAUCCUUUUAGUAAUUUCCUACUGAUUAGUUUUGUAUUUUGAUUUUUAAUGUUCCUUUUAAUUGCAAGGACUUUUUAGAAAAAUUACCAUUUCUGUUCUUAGCUGCCUUUAACUCCCAACAGGAAAGAGGCAGUCUGUCUUUUCCAGGAUCCUUUUCCAACUUUCCUUCAUAGAUUUCACAUUUUCGGGACGGGGGCAUGGCCAGCAUCGUGGUGAAACAUGUGUGCUUCGGGAGCUCCUGGGGGACCAUUGAUAUCUCAUCCAUUUGGGGUCUUUAUUGACCGAAACUGUCCUGUAGGGACAGUGAACAAGAGAGGCACGGACUGGCUAACACAGGGAAGUUGCAAGUUCCCUAGCUAAUCGGGAGAAGCCUUUCAUACCGGAUGGCUGAGAAAGUGGCCAUAAGUGCUGCUAAGAAGCUGGGACAGCCACAACUGAAGCGAGAAAGCAAAAGACAGAGUGGAUCAUCUGGGUGAGAAAUUGGCUUUUUAUAUGUACAGUUCCUUUCAUAACCGCCUGGAAUUAGCACAAAGUAAAAAGAAGCGACACAAAAAGAGGAGGGGAGAGUGAGCCUGUGUCGGCUCUCUGCCUCUAGCA